GUAUAUAGUUUUUGGUGAUUUGAAGGAUUGUUGAUUAUCUAUUGAUAAUUUUGAAUUAAAUAAAUUCUACUAUACUUUAAAUAGCAGUUGUUGUGAUUAUUUUGUGCAUUUGUUGUGAUAAUUGCUGGUUGAACAUGGUCAGUGCUCAAAUUCACCCUUCGCCUGUUCCUUUCAGAGAUACAAAAUAAAUUAAUCAAAUAAAUUAAGAUCUGUAUUUUAAAGGGAACGCCACCUAAUGAGACUGUUUCACAAUUUAAUAUUGGUCCCUGAUUCCAGGGUGCUGCCCCGUUUUGACAGUUUGUCAAUUUUCUAAAGUUAUUAAUACCCAUAUUCAUAACUUUAUUAAUAUUGAUAAAACAUUUGAUUUGACUUUGAUAAUUUGCCAAUAAUUGAAUCCGUACCCCUAAUGAUAUCCAACAU